rnacentral:rRNA from 1 species
UACGUAGGCAGCGAGCGUUGUUCGGAAUUACUGGGCGUAAAGAGUGUGUAGGCGGUGUUCCCAGUCUGUUGUGAAAUCUCCCGGCUUAACUGGGAGGGUGCAGCGGAAACUAGAAUGCUAGAGGGUGGGAGAGGUAAGCGGAAUUCCUGGUGUAGCGGUGAAAUGCGUAGAUAUCUGGAGGAACACCGGUGGCGAAGGCGGCAUCCUGGACCGGCAUUGACGCUGAGGCGCGAAAGCCAGGGGAGCAAACGGG